UACGUAGGGUGCGAGCGUUAAUCGGAAUUACUGGGCGUAAAGCGUGCGCAGGCGGUUGUGCAAGACAGGUGUGAAAUCCCCGGGCUUAACCUGGGAACUGCGCUUGUGACUGCACAACUAGAGUACGGCAGAGGGGGGUGGAAUUCCUGGUGUAGCAGUGAAACGCGUAGAUAUCAGGAGGAACACCGAUGGCGAAGGCAGCCCCCUGGGCCUGUACUGACGCUCAUGCACGAAAGCGUGGGGAGCAAACAGG
rnacentral:rRNA from 1 species